rnacentral:lncRNA from 1 species
GCUGCAAAAUCUUUCAUUUCCUCAUCCCCUCACAUAACUUCCAAUCUUCUUGGCCUGGCACUAAGGACCUACUACAGACUGGCACUGAAAUAUCUUCCCUACCUUAUCAUUCCUUGUGCUUCUCCACAAGCCCACUCUUCCCCUUCAUCAUACAUGUGCCGACCUUUCCUGUCUCUUUUACUUUGCAGCACCAAAUGCUUUCUACUUUGUGGUCUAGGAGGAACACAUGUCACUUUUGUAAGCUGCUCGAAAGCAGGGGCCACACCUUCAUCCUUGUUUUCCACACAACACCAAGCACUUAGUAGACACCCAAUAAAUCAUUGCUGAAUGAAUGUAUUCAGCCUGGAAUUGCACUAGGAUUUUUUGGCCAACACAUUGUAUUCUUAACUGAUACCAGACUUCCAAUCAAAUAAAAUCCUUAAGCCUUUUUCAUAGUCUUUAAUUAAACUACUUCUCUUCCAUUAUUUCCCUUUGCCUACUUUUGAACUGAUAUUCAGAACUUUUCUGUUAAUGUUUAAUUUUCAUCCAUUAUUCUUGUCUGUACAGAUCUUUUUGAUUUUUGACUCUCUUAUCUAGUUUUUUUUUUUUUUUUUUGGCUUCCCGUUGUGUUAUCCACAGGCACAAUGGGUAUAUUGACUAUCGUUCAUUGAAGUUGUUGAUACAAAUGUUGAACAGGAGAAAAACCAGUAGCUUGCCAACUUGGCACCUCAUUCUCUAGCUUGACAGUAAUCUCUUAUCUAGUAGUUUUUAGAUAUGGUUAUUUAAUCAAAUAUCACUAGCUUCUAAUUUUGUUAUAAUUCAUUCAUGUAUACAGACAAUGAAGAAUCAUCUUUCUUCAUUCAACACAUUUAUUGGGAACCAAUCAUUGUCCAAGGCAAUAUGCUAGGCAUUGUGUAAUAGAAAGCGAUUAAGCUUUUACCCCUGUCCUCUUUGGCCUGCAAAGAGCAGGUAAGAUUCAUGCACAGACAAAUGUAGUACCAGGUAAAUAGUGAGGCCAAACACAAGAGGCAGGUCAAAGGGCUUUGGAUUCAGAGGAUGGAGAAGCUCUUUCUAGGCUGGUGAAAUAUUUGCAGAAUGAGUAGGCUCAUAAGUGGAGGUGAGGUACAGGCUAAGCUGCUGUAAGAAAGAGUCCAAAAUGCAAAGGAUUUACCACAAUGCAGUUAAUUUUUCUCACAACGGUCGAGGUAGGCAGGUGGUCCAAGUCCAGUUAAUCAGCCCUCCUCAACACAAGGCUUCCCCUUGUAAGCUCAGGAUGACCGCUCCAGUUCUCAUCAUCUCCCAGGCAGAAAAACGGGAGAAAGAGAACUAGACGUACCACCCAGUCAUUUUAAGGACAUAGCCAGGCCAGGUGCAGUGACUCACAUCUGUAAUCCAAGCACUUUGGGAGGUCGAGGCUGGAGGAUAGCUUGAAGCCAGGAGUUUGAGACCAGCUUGGAUAAGAAAGCAAGACCUUGUCUCUACAAAAAAUUUAAAAAUUAACCAUGUGUGGUGGUGUGCACCUAUAGUCCCAGCUACUCAGGAGGCUGAGGUGGAAGGAUCACUUGAGCACAGGAGUUGGAGGAUACAGUGAGCCAUGAUCACACCACCUCACUCCAGCCUGGGCAACAUAGUGAGACCCCAUCUCUUUAAAAAACAAAACAAAAAAACAUCACCAGGAAGUUGCUUACAUGUCUUCUAUUCCUAUAACAUCGGCCUGAGCUUAGUCACAUGGCCACACCCAGCAGAAAGAACUCUAGGAAAUAUGGUCUUAUGCUAGGUAACCCCAAACCCAGCUAAAACUGUUGCUUUUGAAGAAGGGUGAAACAGACAAUGUGGAGGAGAAUUACCAGUCUGCCACAAAGAGAAAGAAUUCUAUGUGAGGAAAACGCUCUAGAAGAGGGAGCUGAUUAAUUAGUUAUAUCUCAGCCGAGAGGAUGUUAUGAGAAACACAGAUUUGGGUUUAAUAGAAAAACUUAGAACCCUUCAAGAAGGAAUGGGCGGACUUGAGAGUGUCCUCCGCUUCUGAAAAUGAUCAAGAAAAAUGGUAAGAAUGUACACCUCAAGGGUGGAUGGUAAAGGUCAGCCUUUAAGCCUCAAUGGCGGUGUGGUUGUAGGUGGGGUGGGGGUGGAGGCCCCGAAGACAGGCAGACUACCACAGUAGCCCCGAUGGAAGCAGUGAGAAUGAACUGGAAGGAGCGGCUGUGGGAGCGACAACGUGAUGAGAAUAAACCCGGCUUGGCUCUGCCCUGUGCACACACAGGUGAGCUGUGUGCUCCCGGAUGUGUCAGCUGGUAUAUGCGUCUGUCAGAAGGCAGCUGGGGAGCACUGUUAGCUCAGAGACUAAGAGGCAGACCCAGGAAGCCCUUCUUUGCAUUGGUCAGGGUUUGCUGCAUUUUCCCAAGCCCAGGAAAUGGAACCCAGUUCUUCUUCUUUCUGUGUAAAAUAAUAAGCAUCACAAUAGGCUGUGCUCAUGAGAACGCAUUUUGUUUCCACAGAAAUGUUUUUUCUCACUCUGUCCUGAUUUUGAUUUCUGUUAAACUCAGUAAACACAUUACCAAAUUUUAAAAUAAGGUGACUUGUUUUCCCCAACUCACAGUUCACCAAAGGUAUUUCAUCUGUUUGUUCUGAAAAUGCAGCUGCUGUCUAGAUUUAUGUGUGCUCUGACAAGAAAUGUUUUGUGUAACAAUAAAAAUCAUUUCCUUUGAUGAA